CUACUGCUGAAGAGUUCCACAAUAGGACGAAAUGGCCGUCUAGUAC
rnacentral:hammerhead_ribozyme from 1 species